rnacentral:tRNA from 1 species
GAGCUUAUGGUCCAACGGAUAAGACAAAAGUCUUCUAAACUUUUGAUGCAGGUUCGAUUCCUGCUAAGCUCA